AGUCUGUCGGAAUCAUCUCUGCACUGACUAGGCUCUCUGGCGAUCAGUGUGCGGAAAUGCUUCUGCCACACU
rnacentral:pre_miRNA from 1 species